CUUUCAACCAUUUUGGAUGUAUUAUUACUGAAUGGCGCUCAGAGCACACACAUACAGUUCAAUUGCCAUGGAGCCAAAGUCUUUCCCAUAGUCUUUCAUUAUACGAAUGGGCUCCAUGGCAUAGCUAUCUGGGGUAUCACCGCUCAAACAGGGCAAGCACCGAAUGACCUGACUUUCGUGUCUUCGCAGGGGAAAAUCAAGCAUUUCAACAUGGGGCCAUAGUCUAAAGGCAGCAGGCGGGCAACCAGGCUCCUCCAAUGCACAGUGGCGAGAUUGGUCUCGUCACAAUCACCAUAUAUAUGUCCACAUAGGGAAUGUGGGGUCUGGGACUCCCUGAGCAGUCCAGGCCCCCCAGGACCGCCGGGCCUGUGACAACCAUCACAUCCAUAUUUCCCUCCCUUUCUCAUGGCAGGCAGCUUUUAGACUAACAGAGCCUGCGUCCAGUUCUAGCCCACACAUUUUUGGCCCCACUCCCUAACGUUUACCUCACAUAGCAGGGGAAGGGGACGUCUGGACAUCCACACCGGUGGCGUGCUGAUUCAGAAUGAGCGCCAGGUGUCACGUGACUCCUACGCAGGGCAGGAGGCGCUCCCCCUCCCAGUGUAGAGUGCGUGCGGUAAUUUUGACAAGUAAUUUUUGUGCCGCCCCGGCGUGUGCCGGUUUCAUCAACCACACAGUAUGCCAGGCCCAUUCAUGGCAAGAAAAGGGAGGCUGGGUGGACCUAUGUGUGGUGGCAGUAUUUGAUGUUUGUGAUGAGCAUGAUUUGUGUUAACAGUUUGUGGUGUGUAAGGGGCCUUGGUUGCAUAU